rnacentral:rRNA from 1 species
GGCGCAAGGGUGCGUAACACGUGGGCAAUCUGCCGUGAAGUCUGGAAUAACUUGCUGAAAGGCGAGCUAAUACCGGAUGUGAAAAUUGGGAGGCAUCUUCUGAUUUUCAAAGUUGGGGACCGUAAGGCCUGACGCUUCACGAUGAGCCCGCGGCCUAUCAGCUAGUUGGUGAGGUAACGGCUCACCAAGGCUAAGACGGGUAGCUGGUCUGAGAGGACGACCAGCCACACUGGAACUGAGACACGGUCCAGACACCUACGGGUGGCAGCAGUCGAGAAUUUUUCACAAUGGGCGAAAGCCUGAUGGAGCGACGCCGCGUGGGGGAUGAAUGGCUUCGGCCCGUAAACCCCUGUCAUUCGCGAACAAUGCCUGCGUGCUAACACCACGCAGGUUGAUAGUAGCGGAAGAGGAAGGGACGGCUAACUCUGUGCCAGCCGCCGCGG